UACGGGGGGGGCAAGCGUUGUUCGGAAUUACUGGGCGUAAAGGGCGCGUAGGCGGUCCGCUAAGUUGGAUGUGAAAACUCUGGGCUUAACCCAGAGCCUGCAUCCAAAACUGGCAAACUUGAGUACUGGAGGGGAAAGCGGAAUUCCUGGUGUAGCGGUGAAAUGCGUAGAUAUCAGGAGGAACACCGGUGGCGAAGGCGGCUCUCUGGACCGAUACUGACGCUGAGGCGCGAAAGCGUGGGGAGCAAAUAGG
rnacentral:rRNA from 1 species